ACUUGCUUCGGGGGAAUGUCCCUGUACUUACUGUAAGUCGCUCUGGAUAAGAGCGUCUGCUAAAUGACUAAAUGUAAAUCUAACCGUGCCAAGCUAACACCACUUGUUAGCACAGUGAAGCUAACCUUAACAGUCAACAAA